rnacentral:rRNA from 1 species
UCAGGCCUAACACAUGCAAGUCGAACGGCAGCACGGGUGCUUGCACCUGGUGGAGAGUGGCGAACGGGUGAGUAAUAUAUCGGAACGUACCUUAUUGUGGGGGAUAACGCAGCGAAAGCUGUGCUAAUACCGCAUAAUCCCUAAGGGGGAAAGCGGGGGACCGUAAGGCCUCGCGCAAUUAGAGCGGCCGAUACCUGAUUAGCUAGUUGGUGAGGUAAAGGCUCACCAAGGCAACGAUCAGUAGCUGGUCUGAGAGGACGAUCAGCCACACUGGGAGGGAGACACGGCCCAGACUCCUACGGGAGGCAGCAGUGGGGAAUUUUGGACAAUGGGGGCAACC